GUGAAUCAUCGAAUUUUUGAACGCAAAUUGCACUCCCUGGUAUUCCGGGGAGUAUGCCUGUUUGAGGGUCGGUAGAACAAUAAUCGAAGCGUCUCUCUUUUUUAUUCAGGGGGCUCGCGUCGGAAUAUAGCCGUCUUUCAAAUGCUAAUUCAUGUCAAAUGGGCUUGAAUUUUAUCCACCCGU
rnacentral:misc_RNA from 1 species